rnacentral:rRNA from 1 species
AUGGACGAAAGUCUGACGGAGCAACGCCGCGUGAGCGAUGAAGGCCUUCGGGUCGUAAAGCUCUGUUGUCAGGGAAGAACAAGUAUCGGAGUAACUGCCGGUACCUUGACGGUACCUGACCAGAAAGCCACGGCUAACUACGUGCCAGCAGCCGCGGUAAUACGUAGGUGGCAAGCGUUGUCCGGAAUUAUUGGGCGUAAAGCGCGCGCAGGCGGUUCCUUAAGUCUGAUGUGAAAGCCCCCGGCUCAACCGGGGAGGGUCAUUGGAAACUGGGGAACUUGAGUGCAGAAGAGGAGAGCGGAAUUCCACGUGUAGCGGUGAAAUGCGUAGAGAUGUGGAGGAACACCAGUGGCGAAGGCGGCUCUCUGGUCUGUAACUGACGCUGAGGCGCGAAAGCGUGGGGAGCGAACAGGAUUAGAUACCCUGGUAGUCCACGCCGUAAACGAUGAGUGCUAAGUGUUAGAGGGUUUCCGCCCUUUAGUGCUGCAGCAAACGCAUUAAGCACUCCGCCUGGGGAGUACGGCCGCAAGGCUGAAACUCAAAGGAAUUGACGGGGGCCCGCACAAGCGGUGGAGCAUGUGGUUUAAUUCGAAGCAACGCGAAGAACCUUACCAGGUCUUGACAUCCUCUGACAACCCUAGAGAUAGGGCGUUCCCCUUCGGGGGACAGAGUGACAGGUGGUGCAUGGUUGUCGUCAGCUCGUGUCGUGAGAUGUUGGGUUAAGUCCCGCAACGAGCGCAACCCUUGAUCUUAGUUGCCAGCAUUAAGUUGGGCACUCUAAGGUGACUGCCGGUGACAAACCGGAGGAAGGUGGGGAUGACGUCAAAUCAUCAUGCCCCUUAUGACCUGGGCUACACACGUGCUACAAUGGAUGGAACAAAGGGCAGCGAAGCCGCGAGGUGAAGCCAAUCCCAUAAAACCAUUCUCAGUUCGGAUUGCAGGCUGCAACUCGCCUGCAUGAAGCCGGAAUCGCUAGUAAUCGCGGAUCAGCAUGCCGCGGUGAAUACGUUCCCGGGCCUUGUACACACCGCCCGUCACACCACGAGAGU